UACGAAGGGGGGCUAGCGUUGCUCGGAAUCACUGGGCGUAAAGGGUGCGUAGGCGGGUCUUUUAAGUCAGAGGUGAAAUCCUGGAGCUCAACUCCAGAACUGCCUUUGAUACUGAAGAUCUUGAGUUCGAGAGAGGUGGGUGGAAUUCCUAGUGUAGAGGUGAAAUUCGUAGAUAUUAGGAAGAACACCGGUGGCGAAGGCGGCCCACUGGCUCGAUACUGACGCUGAGGUGCGAAAGCGUGGGGAGCAAACAGG
rnacentral:rRNA from 1 species